GGGGGAGUAUGAUCGCAAGAUUGAAACUUAAAGGAAUUGACGGAAGGGCACCACCAGGAGUGGAGCCUGCGGCUUAAUUUGACUCAACACGGGGAAACUCACCAGGUCCAGACAUGGGAAGGAUUGACAGAUUGACAGCUCUUUCUUGAUUCCAAGGGAGGUGGUGCAUGGCCGUCCAGCUUUUGUUGUGAAAUCUCUGUUUGAUUACGGUAAACGGCGAGACCUUGACUUGCUGAUUGGUGUGCGCCUGCGUCAGCAGGCGUUGGAGAUUACGCGCAAGCGUGUCUCUUUCUUACACCACUCAGAGGGACACUCGGCGUUGCUAUUGAGCGUAAGCCGAAGGAAGUUUGAGGCGAUAACAGGUCUGUGAUGCCCUUAGAUGUUCUGGGCUGCACGCGCGCUACACUGACGGGGGCAGCGAGUAUGCUUUGGGUGUUUGUGGUGGGGAGCGUGAAAGCGUUUUUCUACGACAGACAUCUAUUCCUGCGCUGGAAGGCGUGGGGACUCUUGUGAAAACCCGUCGUGCUGGGGAUAGAUGCUUGCAAUUAUUCAUCUUGAACGAGGAAUUCCUAGUAAGCGCAAUUCAACAGAUUGCGUUGAUUACGUCCCUGCCCUUUGUACACACCGCCCGUCGCUACUACCGAUUGAAUGGUUUAGUGAGGCCUCGGGAUUGGCGCGUGGGCGCUGGCAACAGCUGCCCAUGUCAUCUUUUGCUGAGAACCUGGUCAAACUUGAUCAUUUAGAGGAAGUAAAAGUCGUAACAAGGUUUCCGUAGGUGAACCUGCGGAAG
rnacentral:ncRNA from 1 species